CUUCGAGCAGAAAGGAGGAGCGAGCCGCAGAGAAGUUCUGCAUCCCUGCAGCGGUGGGUGUGGCGAGCCUCUUGACUCGCUCCUAAAUUUACAUGUGUUGUUCCUACUUACCCUGGGAUCAACGGUGAGCAGGCCACCGGGAGGGCGAGUCUCAGGCAGGACACAUAUCUCAUUUAAGCGGACCUGUUCGUAAAGGAAAGUCUUUGAAAAGGUGGCAAAGUCCAUGUGAAGCCGGCGCCCGCCUGACAUCAAACAAGCUCGCUCUGGAACUCCCAAGAAGUGAUACCUUUUCUUUUGACUGAAGAAGCAGGACAUUCUGCAGCCUCCGUUAAUGAUAAUGAGUUUACACUAUAUUUCAAUUAACGCUAAAGCUCGCAUUACUUCAAUUAAAAAGAGACUGGAAAAUAAAAUGUGGCAGGAGAUGAAAGAGACAGUGAUGCACAUAAUGUCAAGACCGAAACGCAUGAGGAGAAUCACAGCAACCUUGGGAGAUCGGGAGAGAGGAGGAGAGUCGCUGAGAGUGUCUGCUUUUAAGUACCUCAAUCAUGCACCUGUCACUCCGUUUCUUCACGUAGACGUCAGUGUUUACCAAAAUGAGGGCUGACAGAAGACAUCAGUGCUGGUUUGUGUGCAAACAGCUUGUGUGGACGGUCUCAUGGAGCCAGCCACACUGAUGUAUUUUUUACAAUCGUGCAAGAUCCCAUUUAAGGCUGUUUGAAGCAGGAAAAACUUUCGCUUGUCGGGAAGUAAUUUUUUGGUGCAACAGCACGGGUACGACAUUGUGCAUGUAGCGCUAAUACAUAACAGUUCCCCUUCUGUGCCUCGGUGGCAGGCUGAUUGUGAUUAUUAUCCCAGGCUGGUGGAAUAUGUAACACAUGAAGUAUCUCGGUAUGUUAAAAUAACCCUGAAUAUAUUUGCAAUGGAACCCCCAUUUCCGAAAGCUCAACAAAUUGCAGCAUCACGCAUCCCAAGUCACCCGAACGAAGUCUGAAAGCAGGUUUCAGGCAAGGCUGGUUCCAAUUCAACUGUGAUAAAUGGGCAGAUAAGACAAUCAGUGCGCACCGUGACAUAGUGCAGUGUUAGCUGUCAGACCAGCACUCUGCUGGGGUAGUCCAGGUGCACCCAUGCUCCCGCAGCCAAGGAAGGAGGGAAAAGCAAGGGCACAAGGCGGUGUCUUGCCGCCUUUGUGUAUAAAUACCCAAACUACAGUAUUAAAUGUGGCUAUUAGUUGGAGCCUAGUGUAUGGUUUGUAUCUACUCCCUUGUUAGAUGUGUGCAUGUUAUAUAGGGAAAGAUCUUUAUGGAGAGAGUAUAUUAAGGACUUGACGCAGAUCAUAUCACAGUGCCCCCCACCCGCCCAGGAUGGAAAACGGGCCUGCGGUUGAGAAACCUGUUCCUGUGUGAAGUGGUGAGUUGGCCAGAAACCUAAAUACCAUUCUCCAAUGACUGACAAAUGUAAACUGUGUGCUUGGCUGGCUGAAGAGUGUAUGAAUGGAGCAGGCUGCUUGAAGUGCCUCUGCUGUAUUGUUUUGGGGAAAUGUGUACAUGUGUACAUGAUUCACUGUCUCCAAAGGGUGCCAAGUCACAACAGGGGAAUGCCCACGCUGCACUUCUCUCAUCUCUAGGAUACAAUAAUGAGUCUAAUUGUGUGUUUGCACUUGUACACAUCAUCAUGCCGCUCUUAUUGCCUCUCUUUCCUUGCUCACUCUCAGCGUCGGAAACAAGUGCUGCUCUGCACGCAAAGCUCCUGCUAAAACCUCGAGCCAAAGCACCUUGGUGCGUAUAGCAUAGGCGAGAUGCACCCACACCACAGCCUGACAGAAAUACUUACAUUUAUACGACUUCAUUGUUGAUGCUGCUGCGUUUAUUGCCCUCAGCACUCUGAUGACUUCACAUUCAUGUCAUGUACAGUAGCUUAUGCGUACGACUAUUUAUUUAUUUAUUUUUUACAAUGGACAAAGAUUUAAUGAAAAGUGAUAUUUUAUCAGUCCACAAGGUCAUCUGGGAGAUGUAUUAAAACAACAUCUCUGUAACAGUUGUGUAAAUAUAGUGUUUUCAGAACACAACGAGGGCUUUUAUGCAGGAUCGUAGAAUGGCCCUGUGGCAACGUCUGGGACAUGGAAUAUUUUAUGUAGAGCUGAAUAUUUUGUCAGAGUGCAAGGUACAUGAUCAGCUCUUAACAGUAGUCAUAGUAUUCUGCUGUGGAUGAAGACUGUUGAGAUUUUUUUUUUUUUUUUGUGGAGUUGUGGGAGCUGAAGCACAGGGAGAGAGAGAGGGGAAGAGAGAGAGAGAGAGAGAGAGAGAGAGAGAGAAAGAGAGAGAGAGACGCUGGUUCAAGAGGUUGAUAUGACAAUACUGCCACCUAGAGGCGUGGGGAGGAAUGAGGAAGACUUACUAAAACCUCAUUCAGGAUGCCAUAGUUGAUGACAAAAGCCACAGCUCAACUAAAUACAUGUGUAUCCCUUUUUUAACAGUAUUUAUAGUAUAUCUGUAGUGUCAAGUUGAGGCAUAUUUGUGAAUAUGUGCACCUGCAUGUUGAUGCACAUUUUUGUUGUGGUUAUCAAAAGGAUGGGAAAAGGCCUUUCUGGCUACAUUAUAGUUACAUCAGGUGGGUCAUCCGCCGGAUGUCAUCUCCAUUGAAUCCCAUCUGGCCCGCAGAAGUAACCCGGCACACGCUGACCUGCUCUCAUUUGCUAUCAGAGAGACAGAGGCGCGGGACACGACUAUAAAGAAGAGGAGAAGCGGAGGAAUAGAGAGGCCUCACCUGUGAACCAGAAAUGCCUCGUUCAGGUGGGACCUGUCUUGACCUGUUGCCACGGGGACCCUAAUGUAAGAGGUGAAAGGGGGUGGUGGGGGGGAGUGGCCAUCUGGUGUGUGUUUAUCGGUC